ACGAACGCUGGCGGCGUGCCUAAUACAUGCAAGUCGAACGCUUCUUUCCUCCCGAGUGCUUGCACUCAAUUGGAAAGAGGAGUGGCGGACGGGUGAGUAACACGUGGGUAACCUACCCAUCAGAGGGGGAUAACACUUGGAAACAGGUGCUAAUACCGCAUAACAGUUUAUGCCGCAUGGCAUAAGAGUGAAAGGCGCUUUCGGGUGUCGCUGAUGGAUGGACCCGCGGUGCAUUAGCUAGUUGGUGAGGUAACGGCUCACCAAGGCCACGAUGCAUAGCCGACCUGAGAGGGUGAUCGGCCACACUGGGACUGAGACACGGCCCAGACUCCUACGGGAGGCAGCAGUAGGGAAUCUUCGGCAAAGGACGAAAGUCUGACCGAGCAACGCCGCGUGAGUGAAGAAGGUGUUCGGAUCGUAAAACUCUGUUGUUAGAGAAGAACAAGGACGUUAGUAACUGAACGUCCCCUGACGGUAUCUAACCAGAAAGCCACGGCUAACUACGUG
rnacentral:rRNA from 1 species